AGGGAAUAUUGCGCAAUGGACGGAAGUCUGACGCAGCGACGCCGCGUGAGCGAUGAAGGUCUUCGGAUCGUAAAGCUCUGUCCUUGGGGAAGAAGGCGAAAGCUUGACGGUACCCAAGAAGAAAGCCCCGGCUAACUACGUGCCAGCAGCCGCGGUAAUACGUAGGGGGGGAGCGUUGUCCGGAAUUACUGGGCGUAAAGGGUGCGUAGGCGGCCCUUUAAGUCGGAUGUGAAAGCCCGCGGCUUAACCGCGGAAUGGCAUUCGAAACUGGAGGGCUUGAGUGUCGGAGAGGUUAGCGGAAUUCCAUGUGUAGCGGUAAAAUGCGUAGAUAUAUGGAGGAACACCAGUGGCGAAGGCGGCUAACUGGCCUGUAACUGACGCUAAGGCUCGAAAGCGUGGGGAGCAAAUA
rnacentral:rRNA from 1 species